CGUUUCUUCCAGAGCCUGGCCUGCGUGCACUGUGGGGACAAGAGCACGAGCAUCCAGGUUCUCUGUCGGGGUCACAGGAUGGCGGCCAUGGUUCUGUCUCCCACCUGCGCUCAGCCUUCCCUGUACUCGGCCUCCCCUCAGAGAGGAUGCGUGGAGGGGGAAGGGUUGGCUCAUGGCUUCCUGACAGGCUGGUUACCGGACUCGGUGACCUUCGAGGAUGUGGCGGUGGAGUUCAGCCAGGAGGAGUGGGCCCUGCUGGACCCUUCUCAGAGAA